CCUAAGUGACAUUAAUUAACAAUAUUUACAAUCCAACACAGCAGACCAGGGUGUCACAAGUCACGGGCAUCUAGAGAAUUCUAAAUACCACUAUAGGGCCAACCAUAUACAGAAUGAAGUAUAGAACCAAAGGAAGUAAUUUGGGGCCGCGAACGCUGGCGGUCACUCUGCUUAGCUACAAUAACAAUACCUUCAACCCGCUCAAAACCCGCUACCGGGUGAAUAAUACAUGUAUCUGCACGCGAGGUGCAGGGAGUAAAGUGAGUACUCCAACUCAGUGAGUAACAAAAAU
rnacentral:lncRNA from 1 species